ACGAUGCAGCAUCACUGGACUGUAGCC
rnacentral:piRNA from 1 species